AUUGAACGCUGGCGGCAGGCCUAACACAUGCAAGUCGAGCGAGCGGCGGACGGGUGCGUACUGUAUGGGGACUGCCCGAUAGCGGGGGAUAACUACUGGAAACGGUAUCUAAUACCGCAUACUAUCGGAUAACCCAUAUGGGAUUAGCUAGUAGGUGAGGUAAUGGCUCACCUAGGCGACGAUCCCUAGCUGUUCUGAGAGGAUGACAAGCCACACUGGGACUGAGACACGGCCCAGACUCCUACGGAGGCAGCAGUGGGGAAUAUUGCACAAUGGGCGCAAGCCUGAUGCAGCCAUGCCGCGUGUAUGAAGAAGGCCGUAGGGUUGUAAAGUACUUUCAGUAGGGAGGCGUUACCUACAGAAGAAGCACCGGCUAACUCCGUGCCAGCAGCCGCGGUAAUAC
rnacentral:rRNA from 1 species